GUUGUUCAAGACUACCGACUGUAUGAAACCUCUGCCUGUUCACUCCCCCUCCAUCUCUUCAACCAAACCAAACAAAUCUAUUCAGGACUGGAGAAUAGAGGACCAGCCGAACAUUGUCAAUUUGUCUUCAUGAGCUGAAUGAAAUCUCAAUUUGUAAUUAAAUUUGAGUUUUUGAAGAAGAAAAAAAUAAUUUAACGAAAAUUUUCGAUUCCACCAAUUGUUAAUUUUCAAAGAAAAUGAAGAAUUUAAAACAUUUCUUGUAUGAAAUUCAUGUACGCUGUAAAGUGUACAUAAUAUUUGUUUCAGAAUUAUUUGUUUACAAUGCUGUUGUACCGAAGUUUGGGGUUAAACCGGUUUUCUUUUGGAAGCCGGUUUUAUUCUAAAAUGAUAAUACCACAUCCUUCUUCUUCAAGAAGAUUGGUGGAUAGAGAAUUGGCGACUAAAGUUAGUUCAGAAAUAUCCAGUAUAAACUCAAGAUUAG